AAUUUAUUUUUACCGUUUUGCUUUUCAAGAUUGAAAAAGUAGCUAGUCGAAUUUUCACCUUCUUCCGCCCAUUUUACACGCGCCCUUAUUUUUGACGCCUCUGAUUUGUUCUCAUAGUAGUUUUUAAUUAGCAAUUCUAUUUCUGAAAUCUUAUUUUCAACCUCACCAGAGUUAUUACUGUUUAAUUUUAGUUUUUCUAAUUUCUGCUCAAGGUUAAUUAUAUAACUUUUUUUGAAAUUUUUGUUUAGUUUU
rnacentral:lncRNA from 1 species